ACAAGCUUGUAGAAUGCACCAACUUCUUGUCCGUCGGUAUCACUGCAUCUGGACCAAAGGAAACCAGCUUCCCCCGCACAGCAGAAAUUUUAUGCUUCUUUAAUGUUAAGCAAACAAGCAGUUGCUAAUUCUGCUGUCAUAAACUAUUAACUCAAUGUACCAGCCCAUGACCUUUUUUUUUUUUUAUCAUUAUGGAAUUGAUUUAGGGUUUUGGGAUCAUCACCAUUUCGGAUUGUGGAGACA
rnacentral:lncRNA from 1 species